AUGUUUCUUAACAAGUCCCCAACCAGCGCCGGUUUGCGCGACAGCAUGGGAAGGACAUUCCUUCAUGUAGCUGCUGAGAAAAAGAAAGUCAGGAUAGUCAGUUUUGUUUGCAGAAAUCGAUCGCUCUCAUCGAUUCUGAAUAUGCAGGAUAAUGAUGGAAACACUGCACUACACCUAGCUAUCCAGACAGGGAGUCUUCCAAUGUUUUGUGCUUUGUUAGGUAAUCGGCAAAUACGUUUAAACUUACCAAAUAAGAAACGGCAAACUGCUCUAGAUAUGUCACAGUAUAAGAUCCCCUCAGGAUUUUUUGAUGAUCAGAACAGUGAAGCCAGGAUACACUUUGCACUUAAAGUCGUUAGUGCUAGGAGUGGUGGCUGUCGCCAGGAUCACUUUGAAGAAAACUACAAUGACCAGCUAAAACAUUAUGAAAAAGAAGAAUUAGCAAAGGUGAAAGAUUCAACACAAACAUUGUGUAUUGCUGUAGUGCUAAUUGCAACUAUGACGUUUGGUGCUACUUUUGCCCUUCCUGGAGGUUACAGAGCCGAUGAGCAUACCAAUGGAGGCACGCCUACACUUUCUGGGAGUUAUGCUUUUGAUGCAUUCAUAAUAGCGAGCACACUCUCUUUCAUCUUGUCUGCGAUGGCUAUAGUAGGUCUCAUAUAUUCUGGAUACUACUCACACAGUCGCAAAAUUUUCUUACUCGUAGCCUUGUAUUUUGGAGCAACAUCAGUCACAUGUUUCACAGCAGCUUUUGCACUAGGCUUAUACAUGGUGCUAGCGCCAGUUGCUCAUAAGUGUGCUGUCACUAUCUGUGUCAUUAUCCCCUUUGUUGUUCUAUGCAACAAAAUUGAAUUUUUGGUAAAGUGGGUUCUUCUGGCCCAUCAUUAUGUACUCGAAUUGGGCUAA
rnacentral:rRNA from 1 species